AUGAACGCUAGCUACAGGCUUAACACAUGCAAGUCGAGGGGCAGCAUGGUCUUAGCUUGCUAAGGCCGAUGGCGACCGGCGCACGGGUGAGUAACGCGUAUCCAACCUGCCUUACACUCUUGGACAGCCUUCUGAAAGGGAGAUUAAUACAAGAUGUUAUCAUGAGUAAGCAUUUUCGCAUGAUUAAAGGUUUACCGGUGUAAGAUGGGGAUGCGUUCCAUUAGAUAGUAGGCGGGGUAACGGCCCACCUAGUCUUCGAUGGAUAGGGGUUCUGAGAGGAAGGUCCCCCACAUUGGAACUGAGACACGGUCCAAACUCCUACGGGAGGCAGCAGUGAGGAAUAUUGGUCAAUGGACGAGAGUCUGAACCAGCCAAGUAGCGUGAAGGAUGAAGGUUCUAUGGAUUGUAAACUUCUUUUAUACGGGAAUAAACGAAUCCACGUGUGGAUUUUUGCAUGUACCGUAUGAAUAAGGAUCGGCUAACUCCGUGCCAGCAGCCGCGGUAAUACGGAGGAUCCGAGCGUUAUCCGGAUUUAUUGGGUUUAAAGGGAGCGUAGAUGGGUUGUUAAGUCAGUUGUGAAAGUUUGCGGCUCAACCGUAAAAUUGCAAUUGAUACUGGCAGUCUUGAGUACAGUUGAGGUAGGCGGAAUUCGUGGUGUAGCGGUGAAAUGCUUAGAUAUCACGAAGAACUCCGAUUGCGAAGGCAGCUUACUAACCUGUAACUGACAUUGAUGCUCGAAAGUGUGGGUAUCAAACAGGAUUAGAUACCCUGGUAGUCCACACGGUAAACGAUGAAUACUCGCUGUAGGCGAUAUACAGUCUGCGGCCAAGCGAAAGCAUUAAGUAUUCCACCUGGGGAGUACGCCGGCAACGGUGAAACUCAAAGGAAUUGACGGGGGCCCGCACAAGCGGAGGAACAUGUGGUUUAAUUCGAUGAUACGCGAGGAACCUUACCCGGGCUUAAAUUGCAACCGAAUAUGGCGGAAACGCUAUAGCUAGCAAUAGCGGUUGUGAAGGUGCUGCAUGGUUGUCGUCAGCUCGUGCCGUGAGGUGUCGGCUUAAGUGCCAUAACGAGCGCAACCCUUGUCGAUAGUUACUAACAGGUUAUGCUGAGGACUCUAGAGAGACUGCCGUCGUAAGAUGUGAGGAAGGUGGGGAUGACGUCAAAUCAGCACGGCCCUUACGUCCGGGGCUACACACGUGUUACAAUGGGGGGUACAGAGGGCUGCUACCACGCAAGUGGAUGCCAAUCCCAAAAACCUCUCUCAGUUCGGAUUGAAGUCUGCAACCCGACUUCAUGAAGCUGGAUUCGCUAGUAAUCGCGCAUCAGCCACGGCGCGGUGAAUACGUUCCCGGGCCUUGUACACACCGCCCGUCAAGCCAUGGGAGCCGGGGGUACCUGAAGUGCGUAACCGCAAGGAGCGCCCUAGGGUAAAACUGGUGACUGGGGCU
rnacentral:rRNA from 1 species